GACGAACGCUGGCGGCGUGCUUAACACAUGCAAGUCGAACGGAAAGGCCCUGCUUUUGUGGGGUGCUCGAGUGGCGAACGGGUGAGUAACACUUGAGUAACCUGCCCUUGACUUUGGGAUAACUUCAGGAAACUGGGGCUAAUACCGGAUAGGAGCUCCUGCUUCAUGGUGGGGGUUGGAAAGUUUCGGCGGUUGGUGAUGGACUCGCGGCUUAUCAGAUUGUUGGUGGGGUAGUGGAUUACCAAGGCUUUGACGGGUAGCCGGCCUGAGAGGGUGACCGGCCACAUUGGGACUGAGAUACGGCACAGCCUAGUACGGGAGGCAGCAGUGGGGAAUAUUGCACAAUGGGCGGAAGCCUGAUGCAGCCACGCAGCGUGCGGGAUGACGGCCUUCGGGUUGUAUACCGCUUUCGCCUGUGACGAAGCGUGAGUGACGGUAAUGGGUAAAGAAGCACCGGCUAACUACGUG
rnacentral:rRNA from 1 species